rnacentral:rRNA from 1 species
AACAUCAUCCGAUCCCUAGUCGGCAUGGUUUAUGGUUAAGACUACGACGGUAUCUGAUCGUCUUCGAUCCCCUAACUUUCGUUCUUGAUUAAUGAAAACAUCCUUGGCAAAUGCUUUCGCAGUAGUUAGUCUUCAAUAAAUCCAAGAAUUUCACCUCUGACAAUUGAAUACUAAUGCCCCCAACUAUCCCUAUUAAUCAUUACGUCAAUCCUAGAAACCAACAAAAUAGGAUCGAACGUCCUAUUUCAUUAUUCCAUGCUAAUGUAUUCAAGCGCUUGCCUGCUUUAAACACUCUAAUUUUUUCAAAGUAACAGUCCUGAUUCCCCGCAACACCAAAUUAAUGGCAUUACGGCUCAUCAAGAGGGAGGAAUCAGCAAGGCCAGUGCAUACCGUUGGCACGACCAACCUGCUGAYCCCGAAAUUCAACUACGAGCUUUUUAACUGCAACAACUUUAAUAUACGCUAUUGGAGCUGGAAUUACCGCGGCUGCUGGCACCAGACUUGCCCUCCAAA